GGAGCCGCUGUUCCGCCGUCUGUGGGCUUGAGUAUACCUGCGUACGGGUGGCCGCUAUAGAACGAUGGGGUCGUUGGUGUCUUGGUUCUAUUAACAACACUUUUUUCUUUACGUCCUUUUUACGGUGUAGUACCUUGGGGUGUUUUGUUGUUGUUGUUACUGUUAUUUUUUAUCUCAUCUUGUGGCAUUUGCUUGAUAAGCAUACUCUGCAGCCAUCGAUGUUCACCAGAGGUUUCUUAUGCAUGCCCUGUUCUUUUCAUCUCUCUGCAUUUCUGGUGUCCUGGGGAACAAGCAACACAGUUCUAGUCUUUGUGUCUUUGGUAAGAUCCUUUGCGGUUUCCUUAUGUUUUAUUAGCUAUUUGUCGAAGCCCUGCUUGUUCUUAGAACUUAGUUCAGAUAUUCCUGCUACUGUAACUUCCUGGAUUCACUCCCACAAUGAACUCUUCCUUCCUCAGAACGCUGGUUUGUUGGCUUGUGCUUGGCUUCAUUUAUCUUGUUUUAUUCUGCUUGACAUUACUUGACUUGUUUGUGUCUCCCAUGCAAAUAGGGGCCGCCUUAUUAGAACUGUUACCGUGUUUUGAAUCUAAUAAUAAUAUUAAUAAUCACCAAAAGUGUGCACAUCUCUGAGGGGCUGGGCACUUUUGUAAGUGCCUUUUUAAAUUUUUUAAAAUUUUUUAAUGUCUUAGAAGGAACCCAACUUUUAUUUUACUGAGAAAAUAAUUUGAUCAGCACAGUGGCUAAAGUUUUUUUCUGAUAAAUCUGGAACAGACUUCUGGUAGGGGUGUUCACAGUAACUCACAGCUGUUAAUGCCUUUCUCUAUUUUCCCCCUGAGUGUCACACAGGGUAAUGCUUGGGAAAGUCCUUCAGAGCCCCAGGUGGCCCACGAUUUCACAGUUUUCGGCGGACACAACAUCUUUCUUUGUAUGUGGUGCAGAGGAUGGAACCCUGGCCACACGCAUGCCAGGCGAGUGCGCUACCGCUUGAGCCACAUCCCCAGCCCUAAGUAUUUGAAUUUUAAGUCAGAAAUAGAAAAUCUGAUAUUGCAUGAAGCUACUAGCAAAUUAAGGCCCUGUGAGGCCUGAGGUAGUAUGCCAUGUGGCCAUAUAUUUAGAGUCCUGGAUAGCAGUGCAGUGUUCCUGGGCUAUUGUGACUCCAUUUGGAUCUUGAUGCCUCCUGUUCCUGGGUCUGCUUCCUAGCACUGUCUCAAAGGUUGUUCUUUGGGCUCAGCAUCAACUGUGUAAGUGCUGUUAAAAAAGUAAUUCACUUUUAACACCUUAAAAUUAAACUUGAAUUAAACUUAAUUCACACCAUCCUUAUGAGGAAGUAUCUUAUGUGAUUUUUCAGAUGAGUAAAAUAGCUAAGUAUAUAACCUGCUAUGGGUGCCAUAGCUAUUAAGUAUUCAAAUUUAGGCACAUAAUCUCCAGAAUCCCGCUUUUAAUCCUUGAACCACCAUACUGAUUGUAUAUUAUUCUACAUUUGUUAGUGCCAGGCAUGUUGGUGUGCCUAUAAUUCCAAUGACUAGAGAGGCUGAGGAAGGAGGAUUGAGUUUGACAUUAGCCUUGGCAACUCUGUGAAACUCUAUUUCAAAAUAAAAACUAAAAACUGCUAAUCAGCUCCCCCUGGAUUCAGUCUCCAGGACAAUAAAACCCCCCAUGCCACAAUUGUUUAUUAAUUGAUCUAUUUAGUUCUGGGUUGGAUAUUGGAUGUUUCCUCAGGGAAAAAAGUUAAAAGAUGAUUUUCCUUCUUAUAAUAAGAGUAAUUUGAGAUCAGAAAACAGAACAACAAAAAUCAUACAUAAACACAACAAAAGGUUGCAUGUUUUCUUCUUGGAAGUAGUUGUUUCCUUUCUUAAAAAAAUGAGUAUAUCCAAUACUUCUCCAUAUCAUUAAUUUUCCAGAUAGACUUCAUGUUUUUUCUGGUGUUGGGGAUCAAAUUUUUUAAUAGCUGUAUAAUAUUUAGUUUCAUCAGUUGUUAUUUAAUCUAUAAAUGUUGGGCAGGCAUUUAAGGUUUUUCUAUUGAAUUGCUUUUAUAAAUCCAUUCAAUAAACAUUCACUGAGCAAUUA